GUUUCUGUAGUGUAGUGGUCAUCACGCUCGCCUAACACGCGAGAGGUCCCUGGUUCGAAACCGGGUGGAAACA